rnacentral:rRNA from 1 species
CAGCAGCCACGGGAAUACAGAGGGUGCGAGCGUUAAUCGGAUUUACUGGGCGUAAAGCGUGCGUAGGCGGCUAAUUGAGUCGGAUGUGAAAUCCCCGAGCUUAACUUGGGAAUUGCAUUCGAUACUGGUUAGCUAGAGUGUGGGAGAGGAUGGUAGAAUUCCAGGUGUAGCGGUGAAAUGCGUAGAGAUCUGGAGGAAUACCGAUGGCGAAGGCAGCCAUCUGGCCUAAUACUGACGCUGAGGUACGAAAGCAUGGGGAGCAAACAGGAUUAGAUACCCCUGUAGUCCCUGUCUCUUAUAC